UGAUGACGAGACGCCAAGGCGUUGAAGCAGUGUAUGUCAGACUUCCAAGAAAAGCUCGCAAUGUCACAAAUAAAAAUGCCUGUACCAUAACCGACACAGGUGGGUAGGUAGAGUAUACUAAGGGGCGCGAGAUAACUCUCUCUAAGGAACUCGGCAAAAUGACUCCGUAACUUCGGGAGAAGGAGUGCCUUAUUUGUAAGGUUGCAAUAACAAGAUCCAAGCAACUGUUUAUCAAAAACACAGGUCUCCGCUAAGUCGUAAGACGAUGUAUGGGGGCUGACGCCUGCCCAGUGCCAGAAGGUUAAAGAAGUUGGUUAGUGUAUGCGAAGCUGAUGACUGAAGCCCUGGUGAACGGCGGCCGUAACAAUAACGGUCCUAAGGUAGCGAAAUUCCUUGUCGGGUAAGUUCCGACCCGCACGAAAGGCGUAAUGAUUUGGAUACUGUCUCGGAGAGAGGCUCGGUGAAAUAGACUUGUCUGUGAAGAUGCGGACUACCUGCACCAGGACAGAAAGACCCUAUGAAGCUUUACUGUAACUUGAAAUUGGAAUUGGACUUUGCUUGCGCAGUAUAGGUGGGAAGCGUUGAAAAUAUUCUUGCGGGAGUAUUGGAGCUAUCAGUGAGAUACCACUCUUGUAAUGUUAGAUUUCUAACUUUGAACCAUAAUCUGGUCAAAGAACAGUUUCAGGUGGGCAGUUUGACUGGGGCGGUCGCCUCCCAAAUGGUAACGGAGGCGUACAAAGGUUUCCUCUGAACGGAUAGAAAUCGUAUCUAGAGUGUAAAGGCAUAAGGAAGCUUGACUGUGAGACCUACAAGUCGAGCAGGGACGAAAGUCGGUCUUAGUGAUCUGACGGUACUGAGUGGAAAGGCCGUCACUCAACGGAUAAAAGUUACUCUAGGGAUAACAGGCUGAUCUCCCCCAAGAGUUCACAUCGACGGGGAGGUUUGGCACCUCGAUGUCGGCUCAUCGCAUCCUGGGGCGGUAGUACGUCCCAAGGGUUGGGCUGUUCGCCCAUGAAAGCGGUACGCGAGCUGGGUUCAGAACGUCGUGAGACAGUUCGGUCCAUAUCCGGUGUAGGCGCUAGAAUAUUGAGAGGAGCCUUCUUUAGUACGAGAGGACCGAGAAGGACACACCGCUGGUGUACCAGUUAUCGUGCCAACGGUAAACGCUGGGUAGCUAUGUGUGGAGUGGAUAACCGCUGAAAGCAUCUAAGUGGGAAGCCCACCUCGAGAUGAGUAUUCGC
rnacentral:rRNA from 1 species